AGUCGUAACAAGGUUUCUGUAGGUGAACCUGCAGAAGGAUCAUUAGUGAAGAUUUGGGCAGGCCAUACGGACGCCAAAAAGUGUCCCUGGCCGCCUACACCCACUAUACAUCCACAAACCCGUGUGCACUGUCUUGGAGAAAGGCUUCAGAGAAGUUUUUUGUGGCCUCUCUUGGGGUCUUUCUUCGCUACAAACUCGAAUGGUUAGUAUGAACGUGGAACUUGGUUGGACCGUCACUGGCCAACAAACUAUACACAACUUUCGACAACGGAUCUCUUGGUUCUCCCAUCGAUGAAGAACGCAGCGAAACGCGAUAGGUAAUGUGAAUUGCAGAAUUCCGUGAAUCAUCGAAUCUUUGAACGCACCUUGCGCUCUAUGGCAAUCCGUAGAGCAUGCCUGUUUGAGUGCCAUGAAAUCUCCCACCCCAAGCGGUUUUUAAAUGAAACGGCUUGGCGGAUGGGGUCUGGAUGGGUGCCUCUGCCUGCGCUACCUAGCACAGGCUCGCCCGAAAUGCAUGAGCGCCUUGAGACACUUUGCAUCCGCCUCUCUGUUUGGGAGGAGGCGGCCAAGCAGUGUUUUUCUCCUGGCAUGGCAUGAUACGUCAUUUGCUAUGUCGCCUAAAGGAGGAAUGUUUGGUUGUGUCUGCGUGUGCUUCGAACUUGCCUCUGUGGCACAUCCCAAUUUCACUUCUGGUCUCAAAUCAGGUAGGAUCACCCGCUGAACUUAAGCAUAUCAAUAAAGUCG
rnacentral:rRNA from 1 species